UACGAAGGGGGCUAGAGUUGCUCGGAAUCACUGGGCGUAAAGCGCACGUAGGCGGAUUGCUAAGUCAGGGGUGAAAUCCUGGAGCUCAACUCCAGAACUGCCCUUGAUACUGACGAUCUCGAGUCCGGGAGAGGUGAGUGGAACUCCGAGUGUAGAGGUGAAAUUCGUAGAUAUUCGGAAGAACACCAGUGGCAAAGGCGGCUCACUGGCCCGGUACUGACGCUGAGGUGCGAAAGCUAGGGGAGCAAACGGG
rnacentral:rRNA from 1 species